GAUGAACGCUGGCGGCGUGCCUAAUACAUGCAAGUAGAACGCUGAAGGAAGGAGCUUGCUCUUUCCGGAUGAGUUGCGCACGGGUGAGUAACGCGUAGGUAACCUGCCUGGUAGCGGGGGAUAACUAUUGGAAACGAUAGCUAAUACCGCAUAACAGUAGAUGUUGCAUGAUAUCUACUUAAAAGGUGCAAUUGCACCACUACCAGAUGGACCUGCGUUGUAUUAGCUAGUUGGUGAGGUAACGGCUCACCAAGGCGACGAUACAUAGCCGACCUGAGAGGGUGAUCGGCCACACUGGGACUGAGACACGGCCCAGACGCCUACGGGAGGCAGCAGUAGGGAAUCUUCGGCAAUGGACGGAAGUCUGACCGAGCAACGCCGCGUGAGGGAAGAAGGUUUUCGGAUCGUAAAGCUCUGUUGUAAGAGAAGAACGAGUGUGAGAGUGGAAAGUUCACACUGUGACGGUAUCUGACCAGAAAGGGACGGCUAACUACGUG
rnacentral:rRNA from 1 species